UACGAAGGGGGCUAGCGUUGCUCGGAUUGACUGGGCGUAAAGGGCGCGUAGGCGGUUCGUACAGUCAGACGUGAAAUUCCUGGGCUCAACCUGGGGGCUGCGUUUGAUACGUGCGGACUUGAGUGCGGAAGAGGGUCGUGGAAUUCCCAGUGUAGAGGUGAAAUUCGUAGAUAUUGGGAAGAACACCGGUGGCGAAGGCGGCGACCUGGUCCGAUACUGACGCUGAGGCGCGAAAGCGUGGGGAGCAAACAGGA
rnacentral:rRNA from 1 species